UUUUAAGUUGAUCAUUUCUUUAUUUUUGUUAUGACGCGGGAACAUUGAAAUGUAUCAAUACAUUUUUCAACCUUGUUAGCCCUGCCAAUUAAAUGUCAAAUUCACAAUUUGCACAUUUCUGCUCGGCCAAAUUCAUGUAGCUAAAACAAGCAGAAAUGUGCACCACUCAGCGCCAUUUUUUCUCGAGAGAGCUGCAAGUUUUGCUAGUUUUUGCAGUACGGGAACGCGUUGUAGCAGAAUUAGUACUAAUUAGUACUAAUUUGUAGGUUCUGGAACACAACUAUUGUAAGCAUUUUGUAUUUUAUAUUUGACCACGAAAAUAACAACAGCAAAACAACUUGAAAUUUUAAUUUCUGGCAAAAAGUUUGGAAAGACUUAAAAUUUUAAACCAAAAAAAACUUGUGCACAACAAGGGUGAAACCAGCAGCAAUGGAUGUGGCAUUUUUAAGCAAAUGACUUUGGAGGAGUCUUUCGCGAAUAUAAUGCAUUUUCAGGUGCACCAGGUCGUGCACUUGGAAUAGAAAAUAAGGAAAACAUAAGUGUAAUAGACGUUAUAGUUCAUGAAAAUGAGCAAGUGGACAAUGCUGAUGACGAGACUGAUGUAACCUACUACUGAAGCUUCUCGAUCAAGAAACAAUGGAAAAAAACUAUUGAACACUUUUGUAACAAAACAAUCAAGAGCCAGGCAUUGCAAAUAUGUUUGUUGGCUGCCUUAAACUCGCCGCUGCACUACUAAUACAUUUUUCUCUUCAUCCUCACUUGAACUUAAUCUUAAUUUUUUCACUAUAUUUUUUAUUUUUCCGAAAGAGUCGAAAUUAGAAUUCAAAAUACCAAAAAAAUAUAUUUUUUUGUCAAUAACAAGCGAGUGUUGCCAACGUUUUUUAAUUGUUGCCAACUUUUAUUUUAAAAUGUCGAUGUCGCUUCUAUGCCUUACCAUAAUACCAUUUUUGAAUCGAAGCGACGGCGAGGGCGACUCUCACAUAAAGUCGACGACGACCAUAGUAACGACAAUCGUAAUUGGGCCGAUUGGUAUGUCAAAAAAUUUUAAAUGUCUUUUCAAAUAUAAGCUUAUUUUUGUAUGUUUUCUUAUAAGACGCCAUUUGGAGAUUGUUACAAUACGAGUUUUUCAUUAAUUUUUGCAAAUUUAAAUAAUUUUUCAUUCAACAUUUUCAAUUCUAAAAUUGGUUUGACAGUUCAUUGUCCCAGCAGCUGUCUCGAUGCCUCUACCUAUAUUCUUCUACCAUGAUAAAUGCUGACAAUUUAAAUAUAUUUUUGUACUUUGCUGUUUUCAAAUUCAGUUAGAGAGUCACUUGUAUUUUUUUUUUCGAUAUAAAUUCUUUUGUUUCCAUUUUUCUUUAGAAAUUACAACUAGUGGACAAAAAGUGUACCUCGGAUAAGAGAGAAAACAAAAUUUACUUUACAUUAUAUCUUUCAUCAUAAUUUCCAGUCUUCCUGAAAAAUUUUAAAGUUUUAUUAAAUUAUUAUUAAAUUUUUCUAUUUUUAAAUGUCAUAAUUUACUUUUUACGAUAAAUGCUCUCAUUUGUCAGGGAUGGCACACAUUUCAUCGUAGUUCUGAUAGUUAAAUUUUUUGUGUGGGCAAUCAAGUAGAUAUUUCAUAAUUAAUGGCCGAACAACGAAUAGAGAGCGAAUCACGUGCCAUACGAACUUAACAUUAAAUGAAAAGAAAAAAUGUAAAAUUAGUUCUGUAUUUGCUAUUAAAAGAACAUUUUUAUACCCUCCACCAUACAUAGCAUGGUAAAAGAAUAUAGGUAGACGCAUCGACACAGCUGCUGGGACAAUGAACUGUCAAACCAAUUUUGAAAUUGAAAAUGUUGAAUGAAAAAUUAUUCAAAAUUUGUCAAAAUUGUGGAAAAACGCGAAUUAUAAUUACCUCCGAAUGACGUCGUAUAAGAAAAAAUGUAAAAAUCUACUUAUAUUUGAAAAAAAAAAAAAAAUUUUUUAGACAUAUCAACGCUCCCAAGCGUUAAUGCAUCUACCUGUAUUCUUCUGCCAUGGUACAUAGUAUGGAGCAUGGUAGAAGAAUAUAGGUAGACGCGCCGACACAGCUGCUGGGACAAUGAACUGUCAAACCAAUUUUGGAAUUGACAAUGAUGAAAGAAAAACUAUUUAAAUUUGUGAAAAAUGUUGAAAAACGCGAAUUAUAAUAGCCUCCGAAUGACGUAGUGUAAGAAAACAUAUAAAAAUCUACUUAUAUUUGAAAAAACACUAAAAUUUUUUUGACAUAUCAAUGCUCCUAAUCGUUGAUGCAUCUACCUGUAUUCUUCUGCCAUGGUAUGGAGGGUACGUUAAGUUCGUCAAGUUCGAAGACGGGCUAUAGCAGUCCACGAUAUCGUGUAGCCCUGAACAACGGUACUCCCCGAUAUUCGAUAUUUUUAAGAUUUUAGCCACAUUUUUCAAUGGAAUUUUCGGAAAUUCCAUAAAAGGAGUUCUUCGCCCCCUGAAAGAAAAUCUUUAUCCAUAAAAGAGGAAAAUGUUUGUAAAGUUUGUAAUUUAUGGACUCCAAAACCGCUGCACAGAUUUCUAAGUAUACUACAACAUCGGUUGAAAGUAACAUAGGCAAUAUUUUUUUAAGUUCCACUUGGAACUGGAGAUAUAGCAUCAUUUUUUUUUUUCUGAAGAAGCUACACACCAAAUUAAAUUAUACAUAAAUUAUUUUCUGGGACAUGCCUGUAUAUAUUCAGAGGAAUCAUAUUAAAAAACUACAUUUGUGAAAUUUAAACAUCUUCAAAACAUUUUUAGUUUUCUCUUUUAGGCAUACAGUUCAAGUUCUGUUCAAAAGCUAUUCUUUU